CACACAUUGGUUAAAAUUCUGCUUUUCUUCAUUUUUUUGUGAGCCCACAAGGCUCCAGCUACUGUAAUAGUAGCCUGGUUACUGCUUAAGCUACUCUGAGUCAUUGCAGAUCUCUGAGUUUGCAGAAUGAUGGCACUGUAUACAACAGCUGAGCAGAGGGGUCUGAAAUGUUUGUGUUUAUUUUCAACUUGACAGAGACUGUGUCUUGCUUUUAUGCAGCAGCACGAUAGAAAAUGCUUCUGCAAGGAGGAAUUAAUGAAGAGAACUGCAAAAGAAUGUGUGACGACCUCUCCUGACACGGCAAAAACUUUCCAACCAUGUCACGACAAAGGGGAGAAGCUUUAAUGAAACAACUGCAGCUGCUCUCUUUUUUGAGCAAGAUCAGCAAUCUCAGCCUGACCAAGCUAUACUGGUUUUGUUUUGUUUCAGGAAAAGUAAUAAUCAGUAUGCAAGAUGAAUCUAAGAAAUAGGCUCAUCUCUAUAAACAAAUUUUGGAUCAUUUUACCCAUUUGAUUUCUAGCUUUGCAAAUACUCUAAUUGAAAAUUAAUAGUUUGCAUUGGUGUGAGACAAGAACACGAACUCUAAUUAUCUGUAGUACCUCUUUCUGAUUCUCUCUUUGGUACUGUUUUGCUAGUGUUCUACCUGAUACUGAGGUUUUGUAGUGAUUACUUCAUUAAUGGGAAAGGAUGGCCUAAUCAGCUAACAGAUAGCUAGAAAACUGUUGCUUGCCAAUACCAACAGAAUAUACCAACUUUCCUCCUUUCUUUCUUUUUUAAAGUAAGGUGCAUCUGCAUGAUAGUGA